ACAUUUUGCACAGAUUGAUGCGCCGACUUAUUGAGACUUCAGCUUAUUCACCGUAUCCCCAAGAGAUAGAUAACUCCAUUCAUACCCUUCUCAUCUUGGUGCAUGUUGUAACCUUGUCUGACACACCCACCGCUAGCCUGGCUCACCACAGAUCCUGGAGGUAACCGGCUCUAUCUAGCCUACUGCUCCCAAUAAGUGA